GUGGUGCAAACAGCACAUUUGGCUGCUAACCAAAAGGUUGGUGAUUCGAGUCCACUC
rnacentral:tRNA from 1 species